UAGAUAUUUAUAUAUAAGCAGUUACAGUAUUUUACCUGGAAGCAUUUGUCAACAACCUAAUUCAAAAUUGCAGCUAAAUUUUUCUGAAAAUGGCACCUGCUGGGAAGCCGUUUAUGUAGUGAAAACUCAAAGCUGUAUAUUUUAUGCAUAAAUAUUUACGGUUUUUUUUGGUUGCAGGAUCAAAUGCUAUGGUGAAUUGUGAAGAAUUUGAGGGCCUUUCUCAAUCUAGAGUUUGUCCAUAAGUGGGGCAAUCGGCUGUUGUCUCAAGAUUACAAUGACAUAUUUGGCACAUCGACAUUCGACAGUGAACAUUUGUAAAUGGUCCCAAAGGUUCAUUACAUAUCGUGAUCUGUUUUGGACCAAUGUGAUUACUGAUUUGUUAACAAUUCAGCUAUCGAUGUCUCAAGAGAGAGGGGAAAAGGCCUGAAGAAGUAGAAGAGUGCUCAGUUACCAUUUAAACUCUAAGGGAGGCCUUUACCACAGACAGGAGGAUUGUAUGCUUGCUGUCGAUCAAGACAAAUGAAACACUCGAGAACAGAAGAUGAAACGCCAGAGGCUGAGGCAACCGCAAUGAUUCAGAAAAUGGUAAGAGAGAGGACAAGCGAUUCAUAGGCCAUCUGAAAAUGAUCUGUGCUUCAUCUUCAUAUGGCCUGCAGUUUGGUAAUACACUUGCCAAGUUGCCAAGGCAUUUAGCCUUACUCUGACCCGUAUUCUCUGCAUCAUAACAGGUACGAAUGUACUACCUAUUAUGUGGUCCAGUACUAGAUUGUCUUCUGCUGUGCAGACAAAUUCAUCACCAAGCCAUGUUUGCCACAUCCCAAGGUAAGCAGAAUCGAUCCCCACUGCUUUCUUCCUCAGUAACAAACCGGUGGAGAUGAAUGACUGAAACUUGUGAACUAGUGGUCCUAGCGGAGGCAGGCUUGCUGUUUCUGCACACAAACAUCUAUACAUGCCUGGAAUUUCAUAGCAUAUUGGUAUUCUUCGUUGUCCAAAUAAUGAUUUUCAUAGUAUAUUAAUAUUCUAUGUUGUCCAAUAU